UACGGAGGGUGCAAACGUUGCUCGGAAUCAUUGGGCGUAAAGCGCACGUAGGCGGACUGUUAAGUCGGACGUGAAAUCCCUCAGCUUAACUGAGGAAGUGCAUUCGAAACUGGCAGUCUUGAGUAUGGAAGAGGGUCGCGGAAUUCCCGGUGUAGAGGUUAAAUUCGUAGAUAUCGGGAGGAACACCAGUGGCGAAGGCGGCGACCUGGGCCAAUACUGACGCUGAGGUGCGAAAGCGUGGGGAGCAAACAGG
rnacentral:rRNA from 1 species